CACUAGCCCAGACAGGAACGACAUCCUUUUGUUUUUUUCUUUAAAAAACAAAAGAUAUAGUGGAUGGCUGGAAAUAGC
rnacentral:sRNA from 1 species